CACUGGGUGGCUAAUCCAGGUAUUGCACAAACAAUUUCCCUCAUGGACCAACAGUGACACCGGGUGGCCACUUGGAGUAAUACACAAAGCAUUUCCUCACGGAGCACCAGUCGCACAAACUGGGUUUAAUAAUAAUAAUAA